rnacentral:rRNA from 1 species
CCUACGGGAGGCUGCAGUGAGGAAUAUUGGUCAAUGGACGCAAGUCUGAACCAGCCAUGCCGCGUGCAGGAAGACGGCUCUAUGAGUUGUAAACUGCUUUUGUACGAGGGUAAACGCAGAUACGCGUAUCUGUCUGAAAGUAUCGUACGAAUAAGGAUCGGCUAACUCCGUGCCAGCAGCCGCGGUAAUACGGAGGAUUCAAGCGUUAUCCGGAUUUAUUGGGUUUAAAGGGUGCGCAGGCGGGAGAUCAAGUCAGCGGUAAAAUGUCGGGGCUCAACCCCGGCCGGCCGGUGAAACUGGUUUUCGAGAGUUAGAGAGAAGUAUGCGGAAUUCGUGGUGUAGCGGUGAAAUGCAUAGAUAUCACGAAGAACUCCGAUUGCGAAGGCAGCAUACCGGCUCCAUACUGACGCUGAGGCACGAAAGCGUGGGGAUCGAACAGGAUUAGAUACCCGUGUAGUC